CAGCCGCCGCGGUAAUACGAAGGGGGCUAGCGUUGCUCGGAAUGACUGGGCGUAAAGGGCGCGUAGGCGGCGAUCAAAGUCAGGCGUGAAAUUCCUGAGCUCAACCUGGGGGCUGCGCUUGAUACUUGGUUGCUUGAGUGGGGAAGAGGGUCGUGGAAUUCCUAGUGUAGAGGUGAAAUUCGUAGAUAUUGGGAAGAACACCGGUGGCGAAGGCGGCGACCUGGUCCUUGACUGACGCUGAGGCGCGAAAGCGUGGGGAGCAAACAGGAUUAGAUACCCCAGUAGUCCCUGUCUCUUAUAC
rnacentral:rRNA from 1 species